CCUGACUCGUUUCCUAGCCAGAUCAACCACGCCAAAAGCUCACAAGCUGGAUAAUAACAGCAGCUUUGCGGCAAAUCAAAAGAAAAUAAGAACGCGACAAGUAGGCACUGAUGCCACGGAUGGCUGCCGCCGGAGGGUUGACGCGCCCGCGCUCCUCACGCUGGUCGGAACCAGGCGAAGAAGUAACUUGAGGUCGAUUAACACUGCGUAUUCGAUGUGCCUCGGAAGGCUAACGAGCUGUGUUGGCUUAGUGCGCGGACGCGAAAAGCCUUGCUCAAUAGAUGGGUAACACCACUUGGAGAAUAUACAGCGACGGAUCGCUUUCAACAAUAGCUGCACAAUAUACUCGGGGUACUGGCGCCCGAUCCCUUGCUUCUCACGGCCGCCUACUUCAGGACGACUCGCCGACCUUCUCGGUCGUUUGGCUGUGGGGUAAUGAUGAUGAUACAAUACGAUAGGAGCUCUCCUUGAAGCUCCGGCUUGACUUGGCUGACUCACUCCAGCUUCGUUAACUUGAUUUGCGCGAUCGCAGUAGGCGAGGACGGGCUGGGAACGGAUCCCUGUCGAGCCUAGAGGUAGGAGCACUAAGGGCGGACCUUAUGGAAUGCUGUGUGUACACUCUCUGUCUAUCCUGCUCUGCUGCGCGUGUCGAGGUAGGGUAGGAUUGCAGUCUUGUUACACCAAACAGUCCUAUCAACCCUCCUAUAAUUAUAUUAUCUUCAAUAAUAUAAUGGUCUAUACGCUCACGAAGAGUUGCUUCGAGAGCCAAACGACAAAUGUUUGGCCUCUUCGCACUCACAUUUAUGGCGAAGCACCGACUGAUCCACGCCGGGCCUUAUCACACCCGGCCCUACCCUGGAUGCGUAACGCUCAUCCGACUCACGACAGAUAAACGACAACCUAACAUCUUCAAAUCAUAACGGAAGCGCCUUAUACGCCACCCAAAGUCUCAAAUAAAUCAACACGCGGUUCGCCUUACUACCUUCGGUUGGCUUAGCCACCUGCGGAUAGCGACUAACUCGGUCGUGGCACGUAAUUUGUGCGCUCCAGAUGUUUUGGCGUGACACAUAAACUUGAUGACUGAAGCAGCCGAAGCUUGUACGAUCGUCGCAACUGUCGUACACUCCAUGGGCUGUGCAGGUGCUGUGGUUAUACGACGCCAGGCUAGCGCAGGUGCCGGCUGGCCCACGCCACGUCCGCCACACGACAGCUGCCUGCCGGCGGUGGCGGCGGCACCGCCGCUGACAGUGUAAGUCGAUGACAAGGAGGAAGUGCGCACCAGGGAGGGACAUCCGCCGCCGCCGCCGCCAAAAGCCGAUGUACGGCGCUUGUCUGACGUCAUCACCUCCAGCACGUGUCUCGGAAAGACUUCUUCAAGGAUGCGGUGCUGUACGGCGGGUGGUGGCGAACCCGCCGUCGUACCAUCCAUGAAGCAUCAAGAUCCAGAUCCAGGUCCAGGGAAGGUGAGCCGAUGAGAGCACGGCCCAAAAGAAAAUGGGAUCAAAGGCCACACAGUUCGUUUUGAAUUUCAUUCCGCAAAGCUGGAAGGUACACCAUUCAAAUCCCAACGGAUGCAAUAACAUUUAUACAUAUCGCUUGGCNNNNNNNNNNNNNNNNNNNNNNNNNNNNNNNNNNNNNNNNNNNNNNNNNNUACUUGAGGUCGAUUAACACUGCGUAUUCGAUGUGCCUCGGAAGGCUAACGAGCUGUGUUGGCUUAGUGCGCGGACGCGAAAAGCCUUGCUCAAUAGAUGGGUAACACCACUUGGAGAAUAUACAGCGACGGAUCGCUUUCAACAAUAGCUGCACAAUAUACUCGGGGUACUGGCGCCCGAUCCCUUGCUUCUCACGGCCGCCUACUUCAGGACGACUCGCCGACCUUCUCGGUCGUUUGGCUGUGGGGUAAUGAUGAUGAUACAAUACGAUAGGAGCUCUCCUUGAAGCUCCGGCUUGACUUGGCUGACUCACUCCAGCUUCGUUAACUUGAUUUGCGCGAUCGCAGUAGGCGAGGACGGGCUGGGAACGGAUCCCUGUCGAGCCUAGAGGUAGGAGCACUAAGGGCGGACCUUAUGGAAUGCUGUGUGUACACUCUCUGUCUAUCCUGCUCUGCUGCGCGUGUCGAGGUAGGGUAGGAUUGCAGUCUUGUUACACCAAACAGUCCUAUCAACCCUCCUAUAAUUAUAUUAUCUUCAAUAAUAUAAUGGUCUAUACGCUCACGAAGAGUUGCUUCGAGAGCCAAACGACAAAUGUUUGGCCUCUUCGCACUCACAUUUAUGGCGAAGCACCGACUGAUCCACGCCGGGCCUUAUCACACCCGGCCCUACCCUGGAUGCGUAACGCUCAUCCGACUCACGACAGAUAAACGACAACCUAACAUCUUCAAAUCAUAACGGAAGCGCCUUAUACGCCACCCAAAGUCUCAAAUAAAUCAACACGCGGUUCGCCUUACUACCUUCGGUUGGCUUAGCCACCUGCGGAUAGCGACUAACUCGGUCGUGGCACGUAAUUUGUGCGCUCCAGAUGUUUUGGCGUGACACAUAAACUUGAUGACUGAAGCAGCCGAAGCUUGUACGAUCGUCGCAACUGUCGUACACUCCAUGGGCUGUGCAGGUGCUGUGGUUAUACGACGCCAGGCUAGCGCAGGUGCCGGCUGGCCCACGCCACGUCCGCCACACGACAGCUGCCUGCCGGCGGUGGCGGCGGCACCGCCGCUGACAGUGUAAGUCGAUGACAAGGAGGAAG
rnacentral:lncRNA from 1 species